UCCCUGGCGGUCCAGUGGUUAGGACUCUGCUCUACCACUGCAGGGGCCCAGGUACGAUUCCUGGUUGGGGAA